AGGAGUAUAAUCCAGACAAUAAGCAGCCCUCUGGUGGGCAGGAGCCAAGUGGUGGAGAGGUUGCAAGUCCAAAGGAUGCUUAUUCAUUACAAUCUGGCUUUGUUUGGGAUGAAACAUCUGGCUAUUAUUAUGAUGCUUCUUCUGGAUUCUAUUAUGAUGGAAAUACAGGAUUAUAUUAUGAUGGUAACAAUGGGGUUUGGUAUUCUUAUGAUCACCAAACUCAACAGUAUGUCCCCUACUCUGAUCAGAGUGACAAUAAAACAGCUGGAAAACAAAAUACUUACACGGAAAUCGAACUUGAUGAAGUGCGAGUUGAAUGGAUUAAUUUCGUACUAAAGAAUAUGAGUUGAAAUCCAAUUAGAUGACGAGUCAGUGUGAUGAGAAAAUGUUCGAUUUUGUCUUUUGUAAGACAAGAACAAUCUCUACAAAAAAUAUUAAGUUUAUUCAUAUGCUUCUAGUGGUUUCUGAAUUAAUUUGUGUUUUUUAUUUUUCAAGUCAGAAAUUUCUUGGAGAAAUGCAAAAUAUGGUCAAAGAA